UCCGUAGGCGGUGCGGCAAGUCGGAAGUGAAAUCUCUGGGCUUAACUCAGAGACUGCUUCCGAAACUGCCGUGCUCGAGUGCGAGAGAGGCAAGUGGAAUUGCGGGUGUAGCGGUGAAAUGCGUAGAUAUCCGCAGGAACAUCCGAGGCGAAAGCGGCUUGCUGGAUCGCAACUGACGCUGAGGGACGAAAGCUAGGGGAGCAAACAGGAUUAGAUACCCUGGUAGUCCUAGCCCUAAACCAUCAGGACUUGGGGUUUGCCCUGUACGGGGCAAGUCCCGGAGCUAACGCGUUAAGUCCUGCGCCUGGGGAGUACGGUCGCAAGGCUGAA
rnacentral:rRNA from 1 species